AGCUUAACCUUCGGGGGGGCGUUUACCACGGUAUGAUUCAUGACUGGGGUGAAGUCGUAACAAGGUAACCGUAGGGGAACCUGCGGUUGGAUCACCUCCUUA
rnacentral:rRNA from 1 species